rnacentral:rRNA from 1 species
GAUGAACGCUAGCUACAGGCUUAACACAUGCAAGUCGAGGGGAAACGGCAUUGAGUGCUUGCACUCUUUGGACGUCGACCGGCGCACGGGUGAGUAACGCGUAUCCAACCUUCCCAUUACUGUGGGAUAACCUGCCGAAAGGCAGACUAAUACCGCAUAGUCUUCGAUGACGGCAUCAGAUUUGAAGUAAAGAUUUAUCGGUAAUGGAUGGGGAUGCGUCUGAUUAGCUUGUUGGCGGGGUAACGGCCCACCAAGGCUACGAUCAGUAGGGGUUCUGAGAGGAAGGUCCCCCACAUUGGAACUGAGACACGGUCCAAACGCCUACGGGAGGCAGCAGUGAGGAAUAUUGGGCAAUGGACGGAAGUCUGAACCAGCCAAGUAGCGUGCAGGAUGACGGCCCUAUGGGUUGUAAACUGCUUUUGUAUGGGGAUAAAGUUAGGGACGUGUCCCUAUUUGCAGGUACCAUACGAAUAAGGACCGGCUAAUUCCGUG